GAUGGAACAAACAAUAAUCAAGCACAUACUAAUUUAGCAUGGGUUAAGAAACUGAGUAUAGAUGAUAGAAUCCAAGCAGCUUGGGAAACAAAACUGAAGCGUUUUUUUUUUCCCCAAGAGGCAAGAUAAACAGCGGCAGGGACACUGAACUGCUGUACCCUUUGGUAUGACUGUGCAAAAUAGCAUUACCUGUUGUCAGAGUUGCUCACGGGUCUAGAGUUCCUCGCCUGCAGCUUUUUAAUGGUAAAUCUGGGAGUCAUUGCCUUAACCAUUGCCUCAUCAUGACUUUGUGCUCGAUUCCAGGAGCAUCACCUAGUUUUCUGGCGACCUCUUUGAAUCUGAGUUGCUCAGCACUUUUCCAAACAGAGCCAUAAGCUGGAUAAAGUUCAGUGGUUUCACUGCAAACAACUCUGCCUUCUGCUGGGUUGGUGGUGGUGUUAAAAUGUAAAAGAUCAAUCUGCUUUCUUUAAAAAGAUUAUUUUCCUCUCUGGAAAACGUAAACAAGCUCCAAUACCUUCUUCUGUUAGGAAAAACAGUUUUUUCAUUCUCUUUCCUUUGUCAGCAUGCACCUGACUGCUGCUGUGGCUGACACCGAGCCUUUGCUCUGUUUACUUUAACGAAUAAGCCACUGCUGUUUGAUUUAGUUUAUCAUUUUUAAUGCAUAAGCCCUCUCUUGAUCUUGCAUUCUGGGGAAAAGAAACCAGAGUUCCUCUAAACAUCAUGCAGGGGGCCUCUGGAGCUGGACUUGCGGAUGUAAAUCUCCCCAGCUAAUAUGCAAAGUGAGAUUAUAGGGAAAACACCACCGCCAACAACAAACGUGAGCACAAAGUUCCCUUGGCAGCGUUAAUGUGACAGGUGUACCUCAGCCCCACCAGUCACUUCUCAUUCCGCUGUCAGUGCUCCUGUUCAGUGCUUCUCACUGCAUUGCACCAGCAUGGCUUCUUAUUCUAAAGGUCAGCCACCCACAUUAGAGUUCAAAAAGACAUUUAAUGCAAGCAAAAAAAAUAAAUCGAAGGUGGCUCUCAUCAGACUUGACUUGGAACAGCUUGGCAAGGACCAAAAAAACAGCAACAGCUGCUCAAGAUGUAAACACAGUCCUCAUUAGCAUGGAAACCACUUAUAGAAGUCGUUUGAAUUGACUGAUGCUCAGUAAGGGGAAGAUGUUUACAUAAAUCCCACACUCCAUUCAAGCUAACAGCACAGCGACAUCUUAAUCUGAAUGACACCAGGCCUGAUCUUUCAGACUACUCAGGUGAAGACUUCCUGCAGAAUUCCCCAGGUCAGGAACUGGUUACUAUCCCUAAGUGCAUCUGUCUGAUGCAAAUAUUUGUGAUUCUUCACUCAGCAGUUCAGCCCUGGGGCAUCUUCACUGGUUUUGUGGUACUGUGCCCACACAGUGAUCCUGGAGAAGUCUCCAGGCACUAAAUACAAUCCCUAAGAUGUUUCUGGCUGUGUUAAGGUAAAAAGAACAGAUUGCUGGGGCAAUUUUCCAGUGCUUUAAAGCUUAUUUGCAGCUACAGAAAACAGCAUUACAAAUUAUCCUUCCAGAGAAGAGAACAGUCUGAAGAAGCCUGAAAGUUUAGGAACGGCUAACUUGAUCACUCUGACCAUGGGGAAUCGGGCUCUGCCUCAGGAGUGACCAUAUCUGAUCUCCUCUGCAAAGCAGGAAAAAACAAACAACGGAUUUCUUAUCCUUUUGUUUUCAUGUCAUUUUUUUUUUUAGUGUAGACCUAUGGAUAAUGCUUUUGCAAUUUUCAUAAUUUUUCAUGUUUUGUAAGGAUGAAGGAAAAAAUAAACGGUUUCCAGUUGGAAGCUUGGCUUUGAGGAGUGCAUUGUUUUUCCUCUCGUGGAGUAUUGAACGACGUGAAGUUUUUUGCUAUCAGCUGAACAGCCACUUCAAGCUAAAAGCAACUUUCUGCGUAAAAAAUGUCAUCAGUUCCAUUCUGAAAUGCAAAUCUUUAUAAUCCUCAUGCAAAAAUAGAUAGAUAAAUAAAUAAAUAAAUCUGAGCAUUUCAAGCUAUACUCCCAGGCCUUCUCCAUGUUCAAUAAGUAUAUGCAGGGGCUCAACCAGAAGUGUUUGUUCAAGUGUUUUGCUGUAGAGGAGCCCCUGAGACCUUGAUGGCAGAAGGCAUUGUUGUGGUGAUUUCAGAGCUGGAGGCAGGAAGCAAAUUGCACGUGUGGGCAUCUUGCAAAGGGUAGAAAAUAACACCGUCUAUUUCUGAAAAUAUAAAAGCGGGCUUUUCCUUGGAUUCUAAAUGCACAAAUUAGUGGCCAUCAGCAGAUUCAAGGAAAAGAGAGAGGAAAAUGAUAGAGAAAGCGGAUCACAAGAAUAAAUAGAGGUCUGUCUUCCUCCAGGCUUUGCUGAAAUGCUUUCAAAUGCUUGUCUUCAGAUCAAGAAGAAUUCCUGAACGAUUUUGCAAAACAAAGUAGAGCUGCAAAUGAAAGCAACACUCUGGCAACCAGAAGAGAUGUUUCCAAACAGAAAUACAGUGAAACAAAAGGUUGGGGGAAGGAAGGGAGGAAUGUGUGGCUCUAUGCAAGAAUGGAGAGAGGUUUUUAGAGGGCUGGCAGUAGCUGUGAGGAUGUUAAAGCACUUCACUGCCUAAGUUUGUGUGGUACACCUAUAUUCUCAGUGUUUCACAGCCCUAUCUCUGGCUGGUGUGGUUUGUAAGAGAAUUUGUGUUUUCAUCCUCCUCAUGCUGGUUUAUGUAUCAAUAAAAGAGUUUUCCUCCAACCUGAGGUAUCCAUGAACUUAUUUUACUGACCAAAGUUUU
ensembl:lncRNA